UAGAUUUGGACUAUUUAGCAAAACAACAAAUGAAAUGUAUUAAUGUUCAAAGGUAAUACACAUGCUAUAACUUGAAAUACAACUGUUUUAAAAAGCAUAAGGCACAAUUUUAUUUCAACG